rnacentral:rRNA from 1 species
UCUUCCGGGAUAGGUAGUAGUUAAGGUGAUGGCUUAACUAGCCAAAAACUCUCGUAGUCGAAGCUGAAAGGUUGAUCGACCACAUUGGGUCUGAAAAAACCCCAAUGCAAGUUAGUACAGCAGUGAGGAAUCUUGGUCAAUGGCCUAACGGCUGAACUGGCAACUUGGAGAAGUGGCAAGUCUUAUUUUGAUUAUAUUACAAUAUAUAAUCUAUAAGAUUGUAUUAAAAUUGAAUAAAGCUUUGUUUAUAUAUUGAUAAUGACAGUAUAUAUAUCGUGUCUUGACUAAUUACGUGCCAGCAGUCGCGGUAAUACGUAAGAGACUAGUGUUAUUCAUCUUGAUUAGGUUUAAAGGGUACCUAGACGGUCAAUAUAUCUUCUAAAAUGUUAGUACUUGACUAGAGUUUGAUAUAAGAGGGCAGUACCUGAGGAGGAGAGAUGAAAUUCUAUUAUACCAAAGGGACUCGGUAAAGGCGAAGGCAGUCCUCUAUGUAAAAACUGACGUUGAAGGACGAAGGCACAGAGCACAAACAGGAUUAGAUACCCAAGUAGUCUUUGCAGUAAAUGAUGAAUGCCAUAGGUUUAGAUUAA